GAUUCCGUAUUUAGCCACGGUGGAAUCCGAAAAUCCCCGAGAAAUCUCUCCCGCCAUGAACACGCUCCCUAUCCUUUCACCUCCAUACCCUUCGACGCUUCCUGUCCUCGCCUUCUCGACUUACACAACCUCUCUGUAUCCCCAAACUCCCGUCAUUUCCCAGUCCCUAGGGUUUUGUUCCCCCAAGUCACUUGGCACACUUCCACAAUCAAGAUCUUCAAUUAAGUCCCCGAGUUCUCUAUACCCCGUAGAACCCCAAAUCUCCGACGCCGACGACUACGAGGACGACGACGAAGAUGACGAUGUGGCUGCUGAUGAAUACUACGACAUCUCCGGCGAUGUAUUGGAAGGAGUUGAACAGAGCGACGAUGAAACCGAAAUUCCUAUUGCUGCAACAGAGGCGCCGACUCCGCAUGAGGAGUCCAAGUGGCAGAGAGUGGAAAAGCUUUGCAACGAAGUCAGAGACUUCGGCGAAUAUAUUAUCGAUGCCGAUGAGCUCGCUUCGAUAUACGAUUUCCGCAUAGAUAAAUUUCAGCGUUUGGCGAUACAAGCAUUUUUGAGAGGCUCAUCGGUUGUGGUCUCUGCGCCGACGAGCAGUGGGAAGACUUUAAUUGCCGAAGCCGCCGCAGUGGCCACAGUUGCCAGGCGAAGGCGAAUCUUCUACACGACUCCACUCAAGGCACUAUCCAAUCAAAAGUUUCGCGAAUUUCGCGAGACAUUUGGAGACAGCAAUGUUGGCCUUCUUACGGGGGAUUCUGCAGUGAAUAAAGAUGCUCAGGUUUUGAUUAUGACUACGGAGAUUUUACGCAAUAUGUUAUAUCAGAGUGUUGGAAUGGUUUCUUCUGAUAGUGGACUGUUCCAUGUUGAUGUGAUUGUUUUGGACGAAGUUCAUUAUCUAAGUGACAUAUCUCGGGGUACAGUGUGGGAAGAAAUAGUUAUAUAUUGCCCAAAAGAAGUCCAGCUCAUAUGCCUAUCAGCAACAGUGGCAAAUCCUGAUGAGCUUGCUGGUUGGAUUGGUCAGAUUCAUGGUAAAACUGAGUUGGUAACAUCCUCAAAGCGUCCAGUUCCAUUGACUUGGCAUUUCUCUAUGAAGACAACUUUGUUACCUCUUCUUGAUGAGAAAGGAACGCAAUUGAAUAGGAAGCUGUCACUCAAUUAUCUGCAACUUUAUGCUUCAGGAGUUAAAUCUUACAAGGAUGAUGGGUCUAGAAGAAGAAAUUCAAAAAAAAGAGGAAGUAACAUGAGCUAUGACAGUGUUGAUAGCAUGUCCGAAUCACCUCUUUCAAAGAAUGAUAUAAACACUAUUCGACGUUCACAAGUCCCUCAAGUUAUUGACACAUUAUGGCAGCUUAAGGCAAAGGACAUGCUGCCAGCAAUUUGGUUUAUUUUUAGCAGGAAAGGAUGUGAUGCAGCUGUCCAGUAUCUUGAAGAUUGCAAUCUCUUAGAUGAGUGUGAGAUGAGUGAGGUUAAACUAGCCUUGAAGAGGUUCCGCAUUAAGUAUCCUGAUGCUGUCAGGGAGACUGCUGUAAAAGGACUGCUGCAAGGGGCUGCUGCGCAUCAUGCUGGUUGUCUACCGUUAUGGAAAUCAUUUGUAGAAGAAUUGUUUCAGCGAGGACUUGUCAAGGUUGUCUUUGCUACUGAAACACUUGCUGCCGGAAUCAAUAUGCCUGCUAGGACAGCUGUUAUUUCAUCACUCAUGAAGAGGAGUGAUAGUGGACGAACCCAAUUAAGCUCAAAUGAACUGCUUCAAAUGGCUGGGCGUGCUGGACGUAGAGGCACUGAUGAAAGGGGUCAUGUAGUACUUGUUCAGACUCCUUACGAAGGGGCUGAAGAGUGCUGCAAGCUUCUAUUCACUGGAGUUGAACCUCUUGUUUCACAGUUUACUGCUUCCUACGGUAUGGUGCUGAAUCUUCUUGCAGGUGCAAAAGUUACUAGCAGAUCUAAUGAAGUAAGUGAAAUGAAAUCUGUAAAAGCGGGUCGAACUUUGGAAGAAGCUAGGAAGUUGGUUGAGCGAAGUUUUGGAAACUAUGUUGGCAGCAACGUUAUGCUUGCUGCAAAAGAUGAGCUUACUAAAAUAGAGAAAGAGAUCGAGAUGCUGACUUUAGAAGUUAGCGAUGAGGCCAUAGAUAGAAAGAGCAGGAAAGUUUUGUCAGAGGUAUCAUAUAUGGAGAUUACAGAUUUGCAGGAAGAUUUGAGGAUGGAAAAACGUCUUCGGACAGAACUGCGAAAAAGGGUGGAAGCACAAAGAAUUGCUGCUCUGAAACCUCUUUUAAUGGAAUUUGAAAAUGGACACUUGCCCUUUUUGUGCUUGCAAUAUAAAGAUUCUGAAGGAGUUCAACACUCACUGCCUGCUGUUUAUUUGGGGAAGGUUGACUCACUCAAUGGUUCAAAACUUAAGAACAUGGUUUUUGCUGACGAUUCUUUUGCACUGAAUGUAGUUGGGACAGAGUCAAGUGUUAAUGACCUUGAAAUGGGCCGAGAUGUUGAACCAUCUUAUUAUGUGGCCCUUGGUUCAGAUAACUCGUGGUAUCUAUUUACAGAAAAGUGGAUUAAAACAAUGUAUAGGGCAGGCUUGCCUAAUGUUGCACUAGCUCAAGGUGAUGCUUUGCCUCGGGAAAUUAUGACAAUGCUUCUUGAUAAGGAGGAAAUGAAGUGGGAGAAGCUUACUGCUUCUGAACUUGGUUGCUUAUGGUGCAUGGAAGCAUCUCUAGAGACAUGGUCUUGGAGUUUAAAUGUGCCAGUUUUGAAUAGUCUUUCUGAAAGUGAUGAGCUGUUACAUAUGUCAGAACCAUACUGUGAAGCUGUUGAACGCUACAAGGAACAAAGAAAUAAAGUUGCACGCUUGAAGAAAAGGAUAGCACGUACACAAGGUUUUAAAGAAUAUAAAAAAAUCAUUGACAUGACGAAGUUGACCGAGGAAAAGAUAAAACGUUUGAAGGCUAGAUCAAAACGUUUGACCAAUCGAAUAGAGCAGAUCGAACCAUCUGGCUGGAAAGAGUUUUUGCAAAUCAGCAAUGUCAUACAUGAAAUUAGGGCAUUGGAUAUCAAUACACAUGUAAUAUUUCCUCUUGGUGAAACUGCAGCUGCAAUUCGCGGAGAAAAUGAGCUUUGGCUUGCAAUGAUUCUCCGCAAUAAAAUCCUUCUAGGCCUAAAGCCUGCACAACUUGCUGCUGCCUGUGCAAGUUUAGUUUCUGAAGGGAUCAAAGUUCGUCCUUGGAAAAACAACAGCUAUAUAUAUGAACCUUCCACAACCGUAAUCAAUUUAGUCAAGUUCUUGGAUGAUCAAAGAUGCUCCCUUUUGCAACUUCAAGAAAAGCAUGGGGUAAACAUUUCUUGUUGUUUGGAUAGUCAAUUUUCGGGUAUGGUUGAAGCCUGGGCAUCUGGGCUAUCUUGGAGGGAAAUGAUGAUGGACUGUGCAAUGGAUGAAGGAGAUCUAGCACGCCUCUUACGGCGCACUAUUGAUAUAUUAGCUCAGAUUCCUAAAUUACCUGAUAUUGAUCCACUGUUGCAAACCAAUGCAAAGAUAGCAUCUAAUGUCAUGGACCGCCCUCCAAUCAGUGAGCUGGCUGGAUAGUGUCGUAUUGCCACCAUAAGGUACUUGUAAAAUUGUGACCAUUGUUUCCUACAGGGUCAAUAGCUUUUCAUAUUUCACAGCAUCUGUUUAAUGUAUCUGAUUGAACUUCAAUCAAGAAAGAUAACCGGCUUCACGUUUGCAAUGCAUAAUGGAUUUUCCACACGUAUUACCAGCAAAAGGCCCAUUUGUAUUCUGUGGAGGUAAGCCUUUCUGGCUAGGCUGAAUACUGUCCAUGAUGUCGAAUGACACAUCACUAACCCCAGAAUAAAAUGUUGGCAACAAGGAUGCAACUACUCAGAGGACACUAAAACCAGGUGCCUGUCAGCAACUAAGGUCGUAUGCUUUCAGAUUAUAUAUUGGUGGGAAAUGAUGUAUGGAAGCUGUACCCCCAAAUCCUGUCAGCGGAAGAUGCAUAGUCUUCAACUUGCCUAAUUCUUCAUCCAUUGUUCUCUUGAUUGAAUGGUAACAUUUAAAGACUCAUUUUAUGUUUGAUGCAGUAAUUGGUAUCGAAGUCUUGAGCUUUGCUGCAACCCUGUGUCAUACUUGAAUCUCUCAGCCCUACCUUCUGGAAAAAUAGGCCCAUCUUUUGCUUAAGAGGGUGUGCUCAUACUCCAUGCUCCUUUUUUAGAUCUAUCCACAAAAAUACUGUUACUCUUUCGAGUUUUUUGUGCGUAGUGAUAGAGGCUGAGCAGUCUUCCCCCUUUCUCGUACUAUACUUUUAUUCGCACUUUAGAGAACAGAAGAGAGAUUCUUGAACUGCAUACCUAAUGUCUCGAAAUUACAAGCAAUUCUAUUCUCAUUUCGCGUUAUUGGA